rnacentral:rRNA from 1 species
CGGGUGAGUAGUGUCUGGGAAACUGCCUGAUGGAGGGGGAUAACUGCUGGAAACGGUAGCUAAUACCGCAUAACGUCGCAAGACCAAAGAGGGGGACCUUCGGGCCUCUUGCCAUCGGAUGUGCCCAGAUGGGAUUAGCUAGUAGGUGGGGUAACGGCUCACCUAGGCGACGAUCCCUAGCUGGUCUGAGAGGAUGACCAGCCACACUGGAACUGAGACACGGUCCAG